GAUGAACGCUGGCGGCGUGCCUAAUACAUGCAAGUCGAGCGAACAGACGAGGAGCUUGCUCCUCUGACGUUAGCGGCGGACGGGUGAGUAACACGUGGAUAACCUACCUAUAAGACUGGGAUAACUUCGGGAAACCGGAGCUAAUACCGGAUAAUAUAUUGAACCGCAUGGUUCAAUAGUGAAAGACGGUUUUGCUGUCACUUAUAGAUGGAUCCGCGCCGCAUUAGCUAGUUGGUAAGGUAACGGCUUACCAAGGCAACGAUGCGUAGCCGACCUGAGAGGGUGAUCGGCCACACUGGAGCUGAGACACGGUCCAGACUCCUACGGGAGGCAGCAGUAGGAAAUCUUCCGCAAUGGGCGAAAGCCUGACGGAGCAACGCCGCGUGAGUGAUGAAGGUCUUCGGAUCGUAAAACUCUGUUAUUAGGGAAGAACAAAUGUGUAAGUAACUAUGCACGUCUUGACGGUACCUAAUCAGAAAGCCACGGCUAACUACGUG
rnacentral:rRNA from 1 species